AGGACACCUGGCAAAAAGAGAAAAACACAGUGAUUGUCUUUAAGAUCCCAAAAAGGAUGAAAAGUUGGAAUGAAAUAACAUCUACGUUUGAGUCUUGAUUCCCCGCUAUCUUCAAAUGGAUAACCAUAGCAGUAAUGGCAGCAAUACCAGCAACCGCUAGAAGGUUCUACGCGAUGAAGUAAACAGCAGAAGACAGACAAAUGCACAUUCAAAUCAACCAUGAGAAGGAAAAGACUGGGGAACAGUAAUCCAUACAAUAACUUAGACAUGGACUUAGAAAACCUUUGCUUUUCAAUUUCAGUGUCAUUAAAGUUAGAUUACAAAGAA